UCCCUGGUAGUAUAUCGGUUAGUACACGCGCCUGUCAUAAGGAGUCAGCGCCUUGGACGAUCGCGCGAAAGCGGGGUUCGACUCCCCGCCAGGGAG